ACUGGUCUUGCAAGAAUCUAAACUAUGGUCAGUUGGAGAAAAUCAAUUAUCAAAGCAUCAUUGUGUUAAGGUUAAACUAUCACCCUGGGGGUAUUAUCAUCCAGCAUUUGAAUCCAUUUAUUAUAUUGGUCUUGUCUAUUUAAAGAAUGUAUGGAGGAAACCGGUAGGUCUUUUUCCUAUACGGAACUGGAUUAAAAAUUGGGAUAUUAGCUGUCUCCUCUGAAAAGGAAGAUGCAACUUCCAUUGUCUUGCUAUUAAUAUCUUGGUAGCCAAGAAACAAUGUGUGGCCAGGCACUUAGAUGAGGUAGAAGAUAUAUUCCAUUUUAAAUGUAACAAAGCUGUAUCAGGACCUUUAUUAAUUGUGAUAUUGAAAUUUGCACUAGGUCUGUAUUACCAGCAGAUCAGAAUAGUAGACUCAUAUAAUCAGGGGAGCAGUUCAGAUGGUGUAUAAGCUGAAUUUCGGCGUGCACUGUUCA